GAUGAACGCUGGCGGCGUGCUUAACACAUGCAAGUCGAACGAAGCACUUUAUUUGAUUUCCUUCGGGACUGAUUAUUUUGUGACUGAGUGGCGGACGGGUGAGUAACGCGUGGGUAACCUGCCUUGUACAGAGGGAUAACAGUUGGAAACGGCUGCUAAUACCGCAUAAGCGCACGGCAUCGCAUGAUGCAGUGUGAAAAACUCCGGUGGUAUAAGAUGGACUCGCGUUGGAUUAGCUAGUUGGUGAGGUAACGGCCCACCAAGGCGACGAUCCAUAGCCGACCUGAGAGGGUGACCGGCCACAUUGGGACUGAGACACGGCCCAAACUCCUACGGGAGGCAGCAGUGGGGAAUAUUGCACAAUGGGCGAAAGCCUGAUGCAGCGACGCCGCGUGAGCGAAGAAGUAUUUCGGUAUGUAAAGCUCUAUCAGCAGGGAAGAUAAUGACGGUACCUGACUAAGAAGCACCGGCUAAAUACGUG
rnacentral:rRNA from 1 species